UAGCAUCGCGGCUAUCCCUACGAGCGCAGGAGUCUGUGGAGCGAAGGUGGCCUCAAUCUACGAGGAAUCUUCUAGCACCGGUGCACUGUUUAAUGGCUCUCUACACUCAAACAGAAGGCAGUCCAUCGCUUCUCAGGAACUUGAGUUGGUCCGCCCACCAGAUGGCCCUAUUUAUAGCCGAAAGCCACAACUACCACCGGCCCAAGAGUUACUGUGCACCCGUGAUCAAUAAGUCUGACAACUCCUGACUCUGCCCACAUGACCGCACUCACG
rnacentral:lncRNA from 1 species